GACGAACGCUGGCGGCGUGCUUAACACAUGCAAGUCAAGGGGGCCCAGCAAUGGGCAACCGGCGAACGGGUGCGUAACACGUGAGCAACCUACCGAAGUGUGGGGGAUAGCCGGCCUAAC
rnacentral:rRNA from 1 species